CAUUCAGGCAGCUGCAUCCUCGCGGCCCCCGCCGCAGCCUGGACCUUGGGAACCAGCAGCCCCGAGCCAGGAAGCUCCAGCAUUCAGGGCCCAGACAGACCCCCAAAUCCCAGACCAGAGGCAGGGAAGGAUGGUGCGAGGAGGAGCCCAGGACCCACACGCCAGGGCCAGCGCCGGCUCCCAGUGGGUGCCUCCUUCCAAGGCUGGAGAGGGAGGCAGAAUGGAGGGCUUCCCAGGUCGGAGCAACCCUACAGGCCGGGCAGGUGGAGGGAAGCGUGCAGGUCAUGUUCUGGAGACCUCCCCGCAGCCUGGAACUGGUUUCUCCUCUGCCUCUCUGCCUGUGGGUGUCCCUGUGCUCUGGUAACACCCCAGGCACCAGCUGUGCCCUCACCAGGCUGCCUGCCCGCCCCUUCUGCCAUCCCCAUCAGCGGGCUGCUUCAGAGCCACGGCCCUUCUGCGGCUACAGGGGCGGAUGCACCCACAGCAUGCUCUGCACUGAGGAGCAGGCAGUGGGCGCUGAUGCCACCUGCCCUGCCGACAGCUCCUCACCCAGCAAGGCCGACCCAGCCCCGGGUGAAAGAGGAGCGAGUGAGGUAGAUUGGGGAGAGGCUGCACCUUCACCCAUGCCUGCCCACAGCAUGGCCCCUCCACUUCCUGCACGGGCGCUGGGAACUGCUUUCCAUGGAGCCCCACGGCCAUGACCAGCCCGGUGCUGGGAGAGGACGGCCUGGGUGGUGUGUGUCUGCAGACACGAAGAUCUGGGCACGGGGCCCAGGAAGUGAAUGGCUCAGCCUGGAGUUUUCCCCAGCACUAGAAGCAGAGCUGCCAAGGGCUGCAGCUGUGGAGAACAUGGGAUUUGAGGAAGGCAGGAGUCUUUUCCGUCAUACUUUGUGAGCAGGCAGAUGUGCCAGGGGAGACGGAAGAUAAGGAAUGUGCGUUUAGCUUUAAUGUCUGUUAAAUAGGUUGGGAAAAACAGGCCGAGUGUGGGGACCUGACUCCUGUAAAGGGCCUACUGCAGCCCUCUGCACUCAAGCAGCAGCCCCAUCCAGACCAGGAGCGUUCUGUUCUCCGGGCAGACAGGGCUGACAGGUGUAGGACGGCAUCUCUUUCCUUUGGAGUGUGGGCUGGGGUCAGAGGAGAAACAGCAACUUCCUGCUCCUUCUCGAUGUGUCGUUGGUUCACCGUAGACCACGUCCUGCAUUCCCUCUGAUCCUCUCAUGGGGAGAGCCCUGGACCUUCUGGUGGUGUCCCAGCUGGGUGGGUUCAAGGCUGCCACCCUGCUGGGGGCAGCUGGCCCGCAGGGAAGGGCCAGACAGCACCUCUCAGUGGAGACUGAAUCUUCCUUCAGGAGGCUGCCUCCAGGAAAGACCUGGGGUCCUUCCUGCGCUCAGCGCUGGCUGGCUGUCCUGUUCAUGCAGUGGAAGACAUUACAGAAGAAUUCAUACCAGAAGAACAUGAAGCCUGUGGAGAGGGCAGCCUUCAGCAAGCUGGGGGACAGGCCCUUGAAGAAGCCCAGGGCACCUUCCUUUUGCAGCACCUGCUUGGCACAGUCCAUGAGGCCCUUGUAUCUGCGCACCUGGGGAGAGGAAAGGGAUGAAAACAUGGAUGUCCACUCUGCUCCCAUCAACACAGCCCCUGGCACAUCACAGCUCUUAAGAAGUACUUGCUGGACGAAGGAAUGAAUGCAAAAUAGCAAAUAUUUUUAUUUUAUUUUUUCAUUGAGGCAGAAUUUCUCUCUGUUGCCCAGGCUGGAAUGCAGUGGCACAAUCUUGGCUCAUUGCAGCCUCCGCCUCCCAGGUUCAAGCGAUUCUCCUGCCUCAGCCUCCUGAGUAGCUGGGAUUACAGGCGCCCACCACCACCCCCGGCUAAUUUUUUGUAUUUUUAGUAGAGAUGCAGUUUCGCCAUGUUGGCCAGGCUGGUCUUGAACUCCUGACCUCAGGUGAUCCACCUGCUUCAGCCUCCUAAUGUGCUGGGAUUACAGUCGUGGGCAACCAUGCCCAGCUCAAAAUAGCAAAUAAAUUAAUCUCAUUUUUUGUACUGCAAUUAGGUUAAGACUGAAUAGCUGACAGGCCUAGAAAUCAGCAGCUGGACAAAGCUCCUUCCUGCCCAGGAAGAACGGCUGCCUGUGGCUCCAAAGGAUCCAGCAAUGGCUCUGGAACCUCUUCCCAGAGGUGUCUCUGACCCUUCACCUCAUCCCACCUGAUCCCCCUUGGGCAGCAGAUCUGAACCUGGCCCUCAGUAGCUCUCAGCCAGGCCUCCCUGCCUCCAGCUCACCCUCUCCAGCUGACCUCAUGCACUGCUGCCAGACUUUCGUCCCCAGGCACAGCCCUCCUCAGGCCUGGCUUCCCUCCAAAAGCUGCAGUAACUCAUAGUGACAACAUCAUGAGAAAUCAAGUUCAAACCCCAAGAUCUGCCAUUCAAGGCACUGCACCAUUUCGCCUUGAUUUCCCUCCCUGAUCUGACCUCCACUGUCCUCCCACAUGCCCUUCCCACCUCUGGCCAGACUGGAUUACACUAGUCUUCAUUAGCAGCAAGGCCUCCCUCUGCCAUCCUGGGCUCCCACCAUCACUCCCUGUCCAAAUUCAAACUGUCCCUUCAUGCUGGGUGCAGUGGUGCAUGCCUGCAGUUCCAGCUACUUGGGAGGCUGAGAGGGGAGGAUCGCUUGAGCCCAGGAGUUCGAGACCAGCCUAGGCAACAGAGUGAUGUCCCAUUUAAAAAAAAAAAGAAAGAAAAGAAAACAAACUCUUCAGGACAAGUUGGUAAGUGGAAAAGGGAGGUUACAAACCUUGUAUACAGUGUAUCCCCAUUUUUGUUAAAAUGUACACUGUAUUUAUGAAAAGAAAUAAAACUACAUUGAACGUU